rnacentral:rRNA from 1 species
CGGAGGAUCCGAGCGUUAUCCGGAUUUAUUGGGUUUAAAGGGUGCGUAGGCGGCCUGUUAAGUCAGGGGUGAAAGACGGUAGCUCAACUAUCGCAGUGCCCUUGAUACUGAUGGGCUUGAAUGUACUAGAGGUAGGCGGAAUGUGACAAGUAGCGGUGAAAUGCAUAGAUAUGUCACAGAACACCAAUUGCGAAGGCAGCUUACUAUGGUAUUAUUGACGCUGAGGCACGAAAGCGUGGGGAUCAAACAGGAUUAGAUACCCUGUUAGUCCACGCCCUAAACGAUGAAUACUCGAUGUUAGCGAUAUACAGUUAGCGUCAAAGCGAAAGCGUUAAGUAUUCCACCUGGGGAGUACGCCCGCAAGGGUG